GAUGAACGCUGGCGGCGUGCUUAACACAUGCAAGUCGAACGGAAAGGCCCUGCUUGCAGGGUACUCGAGUGGCGAACUGGUGAGUAACACGUGGGUGAUCUGCCCUGUACUUUGUGAUAAGCCUGGGAAACUGGGUCUAAUACCGAAUAUGACAAUUGUUUGGAUGCGAUUGUGGAAAGCUUUUGCGGUAUGGGAUGAGCUCGCGGCCUAUCAGCUUGUUGGUGGGGUAAUGGCCUACCAAGGCGUCGACGGGUAGCCGGCAUGCGAGGGUGUACGGCCACAUUGGGACUGAGAUACGGCCCAGACUCCUACGGGAGGCAGCAGUGGGGAAUAUUGGACAAUGGGAGCAAGCCUGAUGCAGCGACGCCGCGUGGGGGAUGACGGCCUUCGGGUUGUAAACUACUUUCGCAACCGACGAAGCCUUUUGGUGACGGUAGGUUGAGAAGAAGCACCGGCUAACUACGUG
rnacentral:rRNA from 1 species